GUGCCAGCAGCCGCGGUAAUACGUAGGGCGCAAGCGUUAUCCGGAUUUAUUGGGCGUAAAGAGCUCGUAGGCGGUUUGUCGCGUCUGCCGUGAAAGUCCGAGGCUCAACCUCGGAUCUGCGGUGGGUACGGGCAGACUAGAGUGAUGUAGGGGAGACUGGAAUUCCUGGUGUAGCGGUGAAAUGCGCAGAUAUCAGGAGGAACACCGAUGGCGAAGGCAGGUCUCUGGGCAUUUACUGACGCUGAGGAGCGAAAGCAUGGGGAGCGAACAGGAUUAGAUACCCUAGUAGUCC
rnacentral:rRNA from 1 species